AAAGUGUACUCACAUCUGUCAUUUCAUGUCAUUCUUAUGUAAAUCCUGUAGCUGGGCACAGCAGGAAGAAGCAUUCUCAUCAUGGGCACUUAGCUUGCUUGAGAUUACACAGAACCAUGCCUCUGGUUUCCUGGUACAGUGCUCCUGUAGGUGACGGAUGCUCCCGGGUGACAUAUCAUGAAUCUCUCUGAGGUAAGACGUGCCUUUUGCCUUCCACCUUCUGCCAUGACUGUGAGGCCCUGCCAGCCACAUGGAACUGCAAGAUGGCUGACUAGGAACAGCUCCAGUCGGCAGCUCCCAGCGAGACCAACACAGAAGGCGGGCCGUCAUCCUUAAGCCAUAAAAUGCCCUGUAUAGGUGGAACAGGUCAGAAGACUGAAUGCUCAAGCUGCAUGUGGAGUUAACAUGGCAAUAACACAGAAUGUGAUGACAGCAGACUCUAGAAUCUCAUGACAUCAGUUUAUAUUAGAACUGUUCUGUAGCUCACCUUUCUCCGAAGUUGGAAUUCACAUGGCUGUGGAAUGUGUUUCUACCUUCACUGUUCGAGGAGUCAUCCAACAAAUCCAGGGGUGGGAAAACAGCUGGAUGAGGACAAUAACAUAUAUGACACCUGUAUAAUCCUCUACCUUGGACCAUCUCUCUCACCAGCUGCCUUCCACACCCCUGUCCUACUAACUCCUUCUUUCACUUGAACAUUCUUUACCCCAGAUUUUUGCAUCCUUCAGUGACAUGGAAAAGCAACUGUUAAGAGACUUUGGCCUAAAGAUACAUUGAGAAGGGAAAAAAAGUUUAAUAAGUGGCAAAUGUCAUUGCCACCACAAAGGAAACAAGCCUCGUC
rnacentral:antisense_RNA from 1 species